AUACGUAGGGUGCGAGCGUUGUCCGGAAUUACUGGGCGUAAAGAGCUCGUAGGUGGUUUGUCGCGUCGUCUGUGAAAUUCCGGGGCUUAACUCCGGGCGUGCAGGCGAUACGGGCAUAACUUGAGUACUGUAGGGGAGACUGGAAUUCCUGGGGUAGCGGUGAAAUGCGCAGAGAUCAGGAGGAACACCGGUGGCGAAGGGGGGUCUCUGGGCAGUAACUGACGCUGAGGAGCGAAAGCAUGGGUAGCGAACAGGAUUAGAUACCCUGGUAGUCCAUGCCGUAAACGGUGGGCGCUAGGUGUAGGGGUCUUCCACGACUUCUGUGCCGUAGCUAACGCAUUAAGCGCCCCGCCUGGGGAGUACGGCCGCAAGGCUAAAACUCAAAGGAAUUGACGGGG
rnacentral:rRNA from 1 species